AUGACAGAUCAAUACAAUCCGACUUUAAGGGUGAAGAUUUCUUGCCAUUUUCCAGUACGAAGAAAUGAAGUUCGGAACCUGCUGCUUCUCCAGUAAAACUGACUUCGUUCAGGCCCUUCAUCAACUUUAAGAUGCAAUGCACGUUACAAAGUGGCUCCCAUCCAGGUGAAAGCAUUUCAUAUGCUAUGCUUCUUCUGUGAUUGAUGGAACAGGAAAUGUCAUGAACAUUUGACACUUGUGCUGCUUGUUGCUGUCAUUAUUCAUACUGAGAUUCUCACAGGUCUGAAGCAGCACCAGGAACCAGCCUAACACAUACCUCCACCACUGGCAGAGAUGAAUGUAGCUCAGGGGGAGCAGCUCCCCCCUGGGUAUUUAGGGGCCACCCUGGUGGGUCCGACGGGAACGUCGGGACCAGAGCCCUGUUACCGACACUGGUGAUUAUUUAGAGCCCAAGCCUCAGUGGGAACCGGGCAGUGAUGGAUUCUGAUGGGACCUGAUGAUCACUCUUCCAAUGAGAGUAAUUAAUAUAAUGAAGAGCUACUGAG